CCUACGGGCGGCAGCAGUAGGGAAUAUUGCUCAAUGGGGGAAACCCUGAUGCAGCAACGCCGCGUGGAGGAUGAAGGUUUUCGGAUUGUAAACUCCUUUCGUUAGAGAAGAUAAUGACGGUAUCUAACGAAUAAGCACCGGCUAACUCCGUGCCAGCAGCCGCGGUAAUACGGAGGGUGCAAGCGUUACUCGGAAUCACUGGGCGUAAAGAGCACGUAGGCGGGUGAGCAAGUCAGAUGUGAAAUCCUCGGGCUUAACCAUGGAACUGCAUUUGAAACUGUUAUUCUAGAGUAUGGGAGAGGUAGGUGGAAUUCCUGGUGUAGGGGUAAAAUGCGUAGAGAUCAAGAGGAAUACUCAUGGCGAAGGCGACCUCCUAGAACAUAACUGACGCUGAGGCGCGAAAGCGUGGGGAGCAAACAGGAUUAGAUACCCGAGUAGUC
rnacentral:rRNA from 1 species